CGGCGUCUCCCUGGGCACACACCUCAGCUCAGUGCGUCGUCUCACAGGGGGUAGCGCACCCCACUCUGAGUGUGGUGAGCGAUCCAAGCAGCGACCCUCCUCCCCUCUAUCCCUCUGCCAAGUGCCGCGUCACUUCUGGCGGCGGCAGGGCCAGGUGCCCAGGCCGCAGAGAUGUCAGAGCGGCGCAUCGCUGCUGGUGUUGUGCGCGGGAGAGCGCUGCGGCAGUGCACACGCUUGCGCCAUCCAUGUGAUGGGCGGAGCGUCAUGCGGACUCGAGUGCAUUCCGCGUCCAGCCCUCACACUGCCCACUGGUGGAGGAGCCUGGGCCGCCCCGGAGGGAUCGCACCAGGUGGCGGCCGGCGAGGCGGGUGAGUAGAGCUCGAGGCAGGGGCCAAGCUGAGAUGAGGGAGCCAGCGCACUGCUGCAACGAGUGUCUGGGGCUGCUUUACACCGCGCGGAUGGGCCUGUGACGCGCCGGGUGCAGGGCGGAGUUGCGCCCGUGUUUUGUGGCAGCGGCACGAACGCGUUGCAGCAAAUAGAAUGCGCAUGGCACUCUCCGCGGCACCGUGUAGUUGUGUCGACUGCUCCACUUCACGCACUAGAACACCCAUCUUGCUCUACCGAGCACGCUGACAAGCAGCGUAUCACGGUCUUCUCGGUAGCAGAAGCGCGCAGCAUAACGGGGCGCUUCCACAGCCGCCCCAGUGCAUGCACGGCCCAUCGCCGAUUGGAAAUGUGGAUACAGGGAGCACACCGUGUGGGAGUGGCGGUUGCUGAGGUGGUGGGACGUGAUCCAGAGGGGAACGGGCCGCCAGAGUGCAGAGCGGGGGUGCACUUCCUGACUGGUAUGACCAGUACGCGGAUGUCUCCGUGGGCCUUGUCCCUUUUCGCGUUUGCCUCGCCAGCUGACCUCUUCAGGUGCGCUGUCUGCUGCGAUCCGAUCAUCUCGGAUCGCAUACGGCGCACCGUUUCGGGCCGUUUCUCUGGCCCUUGCCCGCUUUCUGUGCUGCUCUUUGCAAACGCAGCGCUCCGUCUCCGUAUAUAUGGAUAGAUGGGUGUGUGUCCAUAUAUCUACCGAUGUCUAUCUAUGUGUAUGCGCCGCCUUUUCUUUUGCGGGCUCGCUUGAUCCAGCGCCGGUGCCCGUUUCUCUCGCUCGCUCUCCGCUGUUUGCCUGCCGCCUUGUCCCUUUUUCUCUUUCGCUGCACAGUGACGGCCGCCUUUGCCUCUCCUCGCCUUUCCUUUUGCGCCUCCCUCUGCGUGAAGCCACGCACACGUG
rnacentral:misc_RNA from 1 species